AUGGAGGGAUAUCCCGCACUCCAGUUGGUGUCAGAGAGUUCUAGGCAGUCAGCCAUCAAAAAUCAUUUCAAGAAUAUCAUGAAAACUGAACGAGUUGCUGCUGAAAAUGGAACUGGAGGUGCAGCAGUGGUAAAACCAGAGAUAAAAAAGAAAAGAAAAUGUGAGGUAGUAGAAACAGAGGAUGACAAAGGUCAAAGUUGAUUUACCAAAAUUAUGCGUUAAUCAGCAACCUAUGGUUUCCAGCGGAGAAAUAUCUUUGAAAAUCCUGUUUCCAUUAAUUAAACAUCAUGGAGGGAUAUCCCGCACUCCAGUUGGUGUCAGAGGAGAAUGAAUCCAUUGACGAAAUUAUCCAGAAGUUGAUUUUUCCACGGCUGAGGUCAGGCAACCUCAAAGAAGUCAUCCCACUCUACUUCGCUGCCGAGGGGAGGAGAAUAAUAAUAAUAAUAAUAAUAAUAUGCAAGUUUUUAUUUAGUGCUCUAUACAAGUAAGUCUCAGAGCGCUGAGAAGAAUUGCGAAGGCCACUGGCUCUAGCCCUUCUACUGGGCACCUUCUAUGUUUUUAACAUUCAGUAUCAUAAUAAAGCAAAGAACUAUAUCUUCCUAGAAUCCAAGAUGUUUGAAAAGAUGAAGGAAGCCAACAAACAUGUCAU